UGGGGAAUAUUGGACAAUGGGGGCAACCCUGAUCCAGCCAUGCCGCGUGAGCGAUGAAGGCCUUAGGGUUGUAAAGCUCUUUCACCGGUGACGAUGAUGACGGUAGCCGGAGAGGAAGCCCCGGCUAACUCCGUGCCAGCAGCCGCGGUAAUACGGAGGGGGCAAGCGUUGUUCGGAAUUACUGGGCGUAAAGGGCGCGCAGGCGGUCUGUUGCGUUAGGCGUGAAAGCCCUGGGCUCAACCCGGGAACUGCGCUUGAUACGGGCAGGCUUGAAGCCGGCAGAGGGUGGUGGAAUUCCCAGUGUAGAGGUGAAAUUCGUAGAUAUUGGGAAGAACACCGAAGGCGAAGGCAGCCAUCUGGGCCGGUCUUGACGCUGAGGCGCGAAAGCGUGGGGAGCGAACAGGAUUAGAUACCCCUGUAGUCC
rnacentral:rRNA from 1 species